rnacentral:misc_RNA from 2 species
AAUUCUCAACCCCUCUCGAUUAGCUUCGAGGGGGAGCUUGGAUAGUGGGGGCUGCCAGAGACCUGGACCUUUGCGUCUGGGACUUGGGCUCUCCUGAAAUGCAUCGGCUUGCGAUCGACUUUCGACUUUGCGCGACAAGGCUUUCGGCGUGAUAAUGAUCGCCGUCUUCUGAAGCGCAUGACAGAAGGUCUCGUGCCUCCAACACGUCGACAUCGCCUUCGAUGUCUUCCUUCUUUAU